rnacentral:rRNA from 1 species
AGUGAACGCUGGCGGUAGGCCUAACACAUGCAAGUCGAACGGCAGCACAGUAAGAGCUUGCUCUUACGGGUGGCGAGUGGCGGACGGGUGAGGAAUACAUCGGAAUCUACUUUUUCGUGGGGGAUAACGUAGGGAAACUUACGCUAAUACCGCAUACGACCUACGGGUGAAAGCAGGGGAUCUUCGGACCUUGCGCGAUUGAAUGAGCCGAUGUCGGAUUAGCUAGUUGGCGGGGUAAAGGCCCACCAAGGCGACGAUCCGUAGCUGGUCUGAGAGGAUGAUCAGCCACACUGGAACUGAGACACGGUCCAGACUCCUACGGGAGGCAGCAGUGGGGAAUAUUGGACAAUGGGCGCAAGCCUGAUACAGCCAUACCGCGUGGGUGAAGAAGGCCUUCGGGUUGUAAAGCCCUUUUGUUGGGAAAGAAAAGCAGCAGGUUAAUACGCCGCUGUUCUGACGGUACCCAAAGAAUAAGCACCGGCUAACUUCGUG